AGGGGCGUCGCCAAGUGGUAAGGCAGCGGGUUUUGAUCCCGCCAUCCGUUGGUGGCAGCGGGUUUUGAUCCCGCCAUCCGUUGGUUCGAAUCCAGCCGCCCCUGCCA
rnacentral:tRNA from 1 species